rnacentral:rRNA from 1 species
UGAGGAAUAUUGGUCAAUGGGCGUAAGCCUGAACCAGCCAAGUCGCGUGAGGGAAGACGGUCCUACGGAUUGUAAACCUCUUUUGCCGGGGAGCAACGGGGUCCUUGCGAGGGCCUUAUGAGAGUACCCGGAGAAAAAGCAUCGGCUAACUCCGUGCC